rnacentral:sRNA from 1 species
UUAGUGUUAUUAAGUUAAGGAGUGGAAAACAGCUAAAUCCGGUUCUUCAAAGGAAGCUUUCUGCUAUCAAACUCGUCAAUUUGGAAGAGAAUGAUGUUGCAGUUUUUGCAGACAAGACACCAGUGUCGACCGACACUACUGGGUGUCGAUCGACACCAGGCUACGCAGACACUACAGAACUCGACAGUGUUGACAAACACCAACAGGGUGUCGAUCGACACCAACCCAGUCUAGACCUGCGAAUCCUCCAAAACCCGAUUUCAGCUGCAAAAAAGGCAACCAAACCCAAGAUUCCUUUCCCCAUGAGUCCUAGGAAGUCCAAACAAGAGCUAGAUGAUGCUAGAUGCAAAGCUAUGAUGGAUAAGCUGAUUGUUGAGAUGCCACUUAUAGAUGUUGUGAAGUCUUUCCCUAUGAUCAAGCAUUAUGUUAAGAGAAUGGUUACUAAGGAUUUGAAUAGUGAGCAUGGUGUGAUGAUGAUCUCUGCACAUGUAACCGACUUUAUUCAGAACAAGACUCCAUAGAAACAAGAGGAUAAAACGAAGACAAUGGUUAUCUCGGAACAGAUUGUAGAUCUGAAUUGUAGACAGACUAUAGAUGGUCGAGUUGGAAAAUGAGUGUCGAUCGACACCCCUUCUAGUAUCGAUCGACACCCACAACAUACUGCUCCAGAAUUGUUUCUCAAGACUGAAAUCGAUGUUGUAAGUCCAGGACGAAUUGUCAAGUCAAGCACUACACCUUUACUACUCAUUCAACCUCCUAAACGGCUAAGGUACUUAUCACCUCUAUCUAAACUUCCAGAUUUCAUCAAUACGACUUUGAAAUUUUCCAAGACUGUUUCACAGUUAGUUUCUCGUUGACUGCUUGUUUCUUCUUUUGAUGAUUUUGCAGGAAAGAGGAGUAUACCACCCAUACUUGAGUCCCACCCUGCAGAUCUUCCUCACUUCAAUGGUCGAUCUCACGCGCUAACUGCUCAUACACCACCAUGGAUGAUGCGAUAUUCUUCUAAGAAGCAUUUACUGCCACCUUCUGAUCCACCUGAUUCCUGAACUCCAGCAAAGUCAAGCUAUUGACUAUAAACAAGCGCUUCGUGGGAGGCAACCCACUGGUAUGAUUUUCUUUUUCCUUUAUAUAUAUUUUUCUUUUAUUUAUUUUUUCGCUAACUUCGGAUUUGAAUGCCACUGGGGACAGUGACGUUUAAGUCUAGGGGAAGUAGUUACUAACUACAAUUUUCUUUUUGAGUCUUAUUCUUACUCUUAUU